rnacentral:miRNA from 1 species
UUCACAUGUGUGUGCAUGAGUGUGUGUACUUUCACAUGCACAUGCAAUACACUACACACAUAUACACACAAAAACA